CAAAAAGGCACAGCACACAAUUUCACAGCAAGCUGGAAACACAACUAACUAUCCACCUCCAGUUCCAAUAGGCUGACAUCUAUACUAAGAAGCCUGGAGCCAUUUCAGAAGAACAUAUACUGUGUACAGAAGGUGUCAGUGGAGGGGAAUUCCAGCCAUGAGCAGAGCAGUGGUGGUCUUCCAGCACUCUGAGCCACAGGAGAACACUGAGGACCUUGAAGACCCUGAUUUCUGUGUGGAUACUGAAGCUGGUGGAUCUCCAAAUGGACUGGUGUUGAUCUCCUGGUCAAAGUCACUGUCUGUCCACCCUACUGCCCAGGACCUGUGUCUUUUUGUCCUUGACCCUGAGUCUUCUGCUGGAUGUCAUGGUGCCUGUUUGACAGUAGCCCUAGGACGUCGUCAUUGUCCAGGUCCUCCUCCGAGACCGAGGUCAGGGUCCAUGUCCUGUCACUGUCCCUGGGUGACGUUUCCGCAUCAACCAGUCAAUGGCCAAAGACAACAGCAUAGGUGAUACAGGAUACCUCCCUGCUUGACUCUACCUUGAAUGGUUCAGUCAGCUCACUUGCACAGCAAUGCGGUGAUUACUGUGUUCUCCAUCUUUGAAGGUGCACUAAACUGGAUUUGUUCACGUGCUUUUACGCAUGCGCCUCAUUUCAGGACAGUUUACAGUUCACACUGGGGUCAGAUUUAGGUCACAUUCUAAGACAAAUGGGAACACACGUCUGAAAAAGUAAUUGAGCACAAAAGGGUACAGUCUGAACACAG
ensembl:lncRNA